rnacentral:rRNA from 1 species
AACGCGAAGAACCUUACCCAGACUUGACAUACAGUGGAAGUUUGUAGAAAUAUAAACGCCCUUCGGGGCCGCUGAACAGGUGCUGCAUGGCUGUCGUCAGCUCGUGCCGUGAGGUGUUGGGUUAAGUCCCGCAACGAGCGCAACCCUUAUCGUUAGUUGCCAACAGGUAAUGCUGGGAACUCUAGCGAGACUGCCUGGGUUAACCAGGAGGAAGGUGAGGAUGACGUCAAGUCCGCAUGGCCCUUAUGUCUGGGGCUACACACGUGCUACAAUGGUCGGUACAGAAGGCAGCGAAACCGUGAGGUGAAGCAAAUCCCAAAAGCCGGCCCCAGUUCAGAUUGUAGUCUGCAACUCGACUACAUGAAGAUGGAAUUGCUAGUAAUGGCGAGUCAGCAACAUCGCCGUGAAUACGUUCCCGGGCCUUGUACACACCGACGCGUA